GAUGAACGCUGGCGGCGUGCCUAAUACAUGCAAGUCGAGCGAACGGACGAGAAUCUUGCUUCUCUGAUGUUAGCGGCGGACGGGUGAGUAACACGUGGAUAACCUACCUAUAAGACUGGGAUAACUUCGGGAAACCGUAGCUAAUACCGGAUAAUAUUUUGAACCGCAUGGUUCAAAAGUGAAAGACGGUCCUGCUGUCACUUAUAGAUGGAUCCGCGCUGCAUUAGCUAGUUGGUAAGGUAACGGCUUACCAAGGCAACGAUGCAUAGCCGACCUGAGAGGGUGAUCGGCCACACUGGAACUGAGACACGGUCCAGACUCCUACGGGAGGCAGCAGUAGGGAAUCUUCCGCAAUGGGCGAAAGCCUGACGGAGCAACGCCGCGUGAGUGAUGAAGGUCUUCGGAUCGUAAAACUCUGUUAUUAGGGAAGAACAUAUGUGUAAGUAACUGUGCACAUCUUGACGGUACCUAAUCAGAAAGCCACGGCUAACUACGUG
rnacentral:rRNA from 1 species